CCUACGGGAGGCAGCAGUGGGGGAUAUUGCACAAUGGGGGAAACCCUGAUGCAGCGACGCCGCGUGAGUGAAGAAGUAUUUCGGUAUGUAAAGCUCUAUCAGCAGGGAAGAAAAAAGACGGUACCUGACUAAGAAGCCCCGGCUAACUACGUGCCAGCAGCCGCGGGAAUACGUAGGGGGCCAGCGUUAUCCGGAUUUACUGGGUGUAAAGGGAGCGUAGACGGGAAUACAAGUCGAGAGUGAAAUACCCGGGCUCAACCUGGGAACUGCUUUGGAAACUGGAGGGCUAGAGUGCGGGAGAGGUAAGCGGAAUGCGUAGUGUAGCGGUGAAAUGCGUAGAUAUUAGGAGGAACACCAGUGGCGAAGGCGGCUUACUGGACAGUAACUGACGUUGAGGCUCGAAAGCGUGGGGAGCAAACAGGAUUAGAUACCCCUGUAGUC
rnacentral:rRNA from 1 species